UACAGAGGUCCCAAGCGUUGUUCGGAUUCAUUGGGCGUAAAGGGUGCGUAGGCGGGUCUUUAAGUCAGGGGUGAAAUCCUGGAGCUCAACUCCAGAACUGCCUUUGAUACUGAGGAUCUUGAGUUCGGGAGAGGUGAGUGGAACUGCGAGUGUAGAGGUGAAAUUCGUAGAUAUUCGCAAGAACACCAGUGGCGAAGGCGGCUCACUGGCCCGAUACUGACGCUGAGGCACGAAAGCGUGGGGAGCAAACAGG
rnacentral:rRNA from 1 species